GAAAAAUCCAAAAACAGCAACCCAUUCAUGAUCAAAGUCAAGCUAUUUCAAUUACAAAGGGAUCCCAAUUGGUCCCAUAUCCAAACUAUGUACACAUUUUAUUUUAUGCAACAUGUAAGGCAAAGGAAGCAAAUGUAAACCACAUAUGAGCAACCAGCAAGAUCACAUCCAAAAAAAUAUCAAAACAGCAUAGAAAAUUCUACAAAAAUUAUAUCCUAAUCAG
rnacentral:lncRNA from 1 species